GGAGCCUAUAUGAAAUAAACCAGACAGGAAAAUUAAACUCGUCCUUACAUGUCUGCUUACAGCAAUGGAGGUGACAAGGUAAAGAGGGAAGUCAACAGGAAAUCAAAGCUACAAGUCAUUCAAUCUGAGGAAUAAAGCUAGCAGCAAUUUCCCUUUAAUACCUGUUUGUUUAGCAGAAAUAAAGCAUAACAAUUAGACAUGUAUACUUCAGACUGUAUAGUUAAAAAAAUAAGAGCCCAUCUCUUUUGGGAAAAAGUUAGUAUACUUAGUAACUAUUCUAUUGGAUGGCCAGAGAAGAAUUUACUAGGUUGGCAGGAUUAUAGGUGAUUUAGGAAAUAAUUCUCAUGAGUUUUAUUAAUGCUGAUCACAAAUGUAACAAAAUAUGUUCAGGAGAAAUUUAAAACUGCCAAAAUGUAAACGAAUGCACAAUAAACAAAAAUGAAUGAACCGUCAUCAGCUGCCUUCUGUAAUUAACUUCUUGUCCUUACUGAGGAAAGAGAAGACAAGUAAGGCCUGGACACUCGCAGAUGGCUGGCCCUGUUCUCCCCCCCCCGUGCCUCCCAGGAUCAUGGACAGUGAUUAGUAACCAUACAGGUAUUUUUGUGCCACUGACACAAAAUUAUCCUCAAACAAAAGGCGCUGUAAUGCUAGUUUUUAUUAAAUUAAUUUUACCUUUGCUUUGGAGCAGGGAUAUUGAAACAGAUGGACUUUGCAAAAGUCAUCAGCAACAGCUAUCACCUUCCUAUUGUGGGAUCGCACCAGUGCAUUGAUAUCUGUCCCAUCAGAUCCUUCUGGCCAGACACC